UACGGAGGGUGCAAGCGUUAUCCGGAUUCACUGGGCUUAAAGGGUGCGUAGGCGGUUAGGUAAGUCCGUGGUGAAAUCCUGCAGCUUAACUGCAGAACUGCCGUGGAUACUAUCUAUCUUGAAUGUCGUGGAGGUUAGCGGAAUAUGUCAUGUAGCGGUGAAAUGCUUAGAUAUGACAUAGAACACCCAUUGCGAAGGCAGCUAACUACGCGAUAAUUGACGCUGAUGCACGAAAGCGUGGGGAUCAAACAGG
rnacentral:rRNA from 1 species